AUUGAACGCUGGCGGAAUGCUUUACACAUGCAAGUCGAACGGCAGCACGAGGGCAACCUUGGUGGCGAGUGGCGAACGGGUGAGUAAUACAUCGGAACGUGCCCAGUCGUGGGGGAUAACGUAGCGAAAGCUACGCUAAUACCGCGUACGAUCUAUGGAUGAAAGCGGGGGACCGUAAGGCCUCGCGCGAUUGGAGCGGCCGAUGGCAGAUUAGGUAGUUGGUGGGGUAAAGGCUCACCAAGCCUGCGAUCUGUAGCUGGUCUGAGAGGACGACCAGCCACACUGGAACUGAGACACGGUCCAGACUCCUACGGGAGGCAGCAGUGGGGAAUUUUGGACAAUGGGCGCAAGCCUGAUCCAGCCAUUCCGCGUGCAGGAUGAA
rnacentral:rRNA from 1 species